AGCAGCCGCGGUAAUUCCAGCUCCAAUAGCGUAUAUUAAAGUUGUUGCAGUUAAAAAGCUCGUAGUUGAAUUUCGGGGUUAGCAGGUCGGUCGUGCCAAUGGUAUGCACUGGCUCGCUGACUCCUCCUUCUUGUAGAACCGUAAUGCCAUUAAUUUGGUGUUGCGGGGAAACAGGACUGUUACUUUGAAAAAAUUAGAGUGUUUAAAGCAGGCCAACGCCUGAAUACAUUAGCAUGGAAUAAUGAAAUAGGACGUUCGAACCUAUUUUGUUGGUUUCUAGGAUUGACGUAAUGAUUAAUAGGGAUAGUUGGGGGCAUUAGUAUUCAAUUGUCAGAGGUGAAAUUCUUGGAUUUAUUGAAGACUGACUACUGCGAAAGCAUUUGCCAAGGAUGUUUUCAUUAAUCAAGAACGAAAGUUAGGGGAUCGAAGACGAUCAGAUACCGUCGUAGUCUUAACCAUAAAACUAUGCCGACUAGGGAUCGGAUGAUGUUAAUUUUAUAAUGACUCA
rnacentral:rRNA from 1 species